rnacentral:rRNA from 1 species
CCUACGGGAGGCAGCAGUGAGGAAUAUUGGGCAAUGCCCGAAAGGGUGACCCAGCAACGCCGCGUGGAGGAUGAAGUCCUUCUGGACGUAAACUCCUUUUAGAGGGGACGAAAAGCCCGAUUUGUCGGGAAUUGACGGUACCCUCAGAAAAAGCACCGGCUAACUACGUGCCAGCAGCCGCGGUAAUACGUAGGGUGCAAGCGUUGUCCGGAUUCACUGGGUGUAAAGGGUGCGCAGGCGGGCUCUUAAGUCAAAGGUGAAAUCUCUCGGCUUAACCGAGAAAUUGCCUUUGAUACUGAGAGCCUUGAGUACGGGAGAGGGAGAUGGAAUUCCAGGUGUAGCGGUGAAAUGCGUAGAUAUCUGGAGGAACACCGGAGGCGAAGGCGGCUUCCUGGACUGUCCCUGACACUGAAACACGGAAGCUAGGGGAGCAAACCGGAUUAGAUCCCCCUGUAGU